UUCUGCAGUUGUAUUUCAAAUUGUACGAAUGGCGCACGCGUGUUUAGUUAUUUUGUGCAUAGCCACGCUACUUAUAAAUGUUCUCAGUGAUCCUGCUUUAGCGCCGUCUAGGAAAAUGGAAGCUAAAGAGCGAAAAACUCAAGAAAAACCCAUAAUCGUUAGAAGAGUACCAAGUGCCUAUUUCUACCCAUUUAGCCUGUGGCCAUUACCCAAAUAUCCAGCAGACGGUAGUGAAGAUUACGAGAGAUAUCACACGCGAAGUAUAAAAUACGUUCAAGUGAAGAAAAAUAAAAGAUAAUACAUUUUACAGGAUUUAUUUAUAAGGAUUUUACGUGUACUGAAUAGGUUUAGUAAAGAAGUUUGAAAAAAGGCUUUUUUAUUUAAC